AGGGUUGUGGCUCAGUGGUAGAGUGCUUGCCUAGCACGCAUGAGGCACUGGGUUUGAUCCCUAGCACCACAU
rnacentral:tRNA from 1 species